GGUGGGGACCGGGCGGCAGGGGCAGGCCGAACGUGCUCGUGUCGCCCACAGGUGGCAAGAAGAAGCCACUGAAACAGCCCAAGAAGCAGGCCAAGGAGAUGGACGAGAUAAGGCUUUCAAGCAGAAACAAAAAGAGGAGCAGAAGAAACUCGAGGAGCUAAAAGCGAAGGCCGCGGGGAAGGGGCCCUUGGCCACAGGUGGAAUUAAGAAAUCUGGCAAAAAGUAAGCUGUUCCUUGUGCCUGAGGAGAUGGUGACCCUUUAUUUCAUCUGUAUUUAAACCUCUCUAUUCCCUGCCAUAACAUCUUUUGCCACGUAUAGCUGGAAUUAAGUGUUGUCUUGGAGCUGUUGUACAUUUAAGAAUAAACUUUUGUAAAAAAAAAAAAAAAAAAUCUUACAGUGGCUCAUCAUCUCUUUAGUUGUUUUCACUAAGUCAUUCCUACCAUAACUGUGAAUUUAAAGUAAAACCAGCUCAGAAUCUUGCCAGAGUCUGUUCUUUGGUCCUUGUUCUACCCUAAACUUUGUAUCACCUGAAAUUAAACCAACUCAUUUGAAAGGAUG
rnacentral:lncRNA from 1 species